GCCUUGGCUUUCAUCUGCAGAGCGUGUAGCUGCAAGUGCGGCGUGUUUACAAAUGCAGGCAUUGCAAGAUCCCUUGAACUGUGUCCUAGUACAAAAGAGGCUUUGAAACGAGAAACACGUUGUCAUGGCAUGUUCCAGGCCAGCAGCACCAGACUGAACCAGAUAAUUGCUGUUUCUGCUUCACCGUGGAAAAAGCAGCAGGCCUCCCAAGAGCCGCUUUCUAAGACGAUGCCCUCGGGAAAGCUGUCACCAGCCUCGCUGAGCAGCGGCUCCUCCGGGCAGCACAGCUGGUCCUGAUCCCUCCGCACGCCCAUUCCCAUCGGAGCAGUGGCUUUCUCCAGGAGGAGCAGAGUUUUGGGCUGCCCCUGCCAGGCGGGGUGACGGG